GUCGGAAGGCAGCAGCGCCAUGGAAGUGAUUCCCGUGGGGCGCGGG
rnacentral:SRP_RNA from 1 species